CCUACAGGAGGCUGCAGUGAGGAAUAUUGGUCAAUGGACGAGAGUCUGAACCAGCCAAGUAGCGUGAAGGAUGACUGCCCUAUGGGUUGUAAACUUCUUUUAUAUGGGAAUAAAAUGUUCCACGUGUGGGAUUUUGUAUGUACCAUAUGAAUAAGGAUCGGCUAACUCCGUGCAAGCAGCCGCGGUAAUACGGAGGAUCCGAGCGUGAUCCGGAUUUAUUGGGUUUAAAGGGAGCGUAGGUGGAUUGUUAAGUCAGUUGUGAAAGGUUGCGGAUCAACCGUAAAAUUGCAGUUGAAACGGGCAGUUUUGAGUACAGUAGAGGUGGGCUGAAAUCGUGGUG
rnacentral:rRNA from 1 species